GUAGGUGAACCUGCGGAAGGAUCAUUACAAAUCCAUCCACGUCUCAUUUUCUUGAGACCACGUCGAAAUGUUCCCUGGUGUGUGCGCGUUGCUGCUGCUGCUGCUGUUCCUUGACCUUCACAGCCAUUCCUGGUUGUCGUGGUGUCUUGGUGGUGGUGGGCGGGCACCGCAUACACACUGGGCUUGUAAACUAGUAUCCUCUGUUGCUCAAAUGUAUCUUUCCUGAUCGUCACGAUCAGGGCAAACAAAGUACAACUUAUAACAAUGGAUCUCUAGGCUCUU
rnacentral:misc_RNA from 1 species